rnacentral:lncRNA from 1 species
GGCGCCCAGGUGUCAGGACCUGAGGAGAAAGAGUGCGCGUAGCGGGAGGGCCCCGAAGUGUCGGGGCGGGAUCCUGGAAGGAGGGAGAACGUGAGGAGGGAGGAAGGGUCCCUGGGGUGUCAGGGAUGGGGGCCAGGAAAGGGGCAGAGAGCUGGAGGCCCACAAGUGGGGAUAGCGGGGGAGGGAGGUUGGAGCGAGUGGGGAACGCAGGUGGUGUCGAGGGCGGGGACAGGGCGAGGGGAGCGGGGCGUGAGGAAGUUGUGGGAAACCGCGCUGGACGCUGAGAAUGUGCGGAAGGAUCCUGAGGGGAGGACGCGAGACAGCGCGAGGAGAGACGAGGAGAGUUAGGGUUGGCCGGGAGGGUGCGAAGAUGAAGCGACCACUGGAGGCUGUGAGGGUGAAAGGAGCAAGAAUCGUCUAGAGACGGGCUGGGCCGGUGCUGGGGCCAAAGGCUUCUGUCUGUCAGGCCCUUUUUGGCGCUCACUCUAGAAAGAAGAGGCGGAGACGCGAAGAGAUCGGAGUUCAACAAUUUUUAUGAAUUUCUAAUCCAACCUCAUCAUCCUAUGGGAAACAGAAGACCACCAAGAACAGCCAGCUGAGACAGAAUUUCACUGUGUUGCCCAAGCCAAUCUUAAAC